GUUUCAUGCAAAAUGUGUGGUAGCCCUGUUGUUAGCCACCUGCGACUGAAUGUGUUUUAAUCAAAUUUGUUGAAAAAUGGCAAAAUUCAGUCUAAUUAACAUUCGGUGCGUAAGAAAGCAAUUUUUCACUAAUUAUCACAAUUUUGCAUAAUGGUGGUAACCCUGUCUAUUGUCACCAAAAAUUUCAGAUUUUUGCAGAAAUCGUGCGAAAUUAUGACAAAUUCAAGUUCGGAAAACUGCCCCAAAGAUUGCUACGUUUGAUCAAAUGACAGGCGACAAGUAAAAAAAAAUGCAAAUACGGUCCUAAAAGUGUUGUCACUGCUGAAUUCCAAUCAAUUGUCGAAAAAAUUUGCUAUAAUCCCUAUUUAAAGUGUUCAAAAAUCGUUCAAUUCACUAGGUGACAGAUGUGCAACUAGUUACGACAAACGUCCAGUUGUGUAAAAUAUGCAACCAACAAUACACCUACGUGAUAGCAUUUGGUUUCAACAGGUUGGCAGCUGUCGCAAUAGGGCCCUAGUAGUUCCCCGGGUUCGGCUGGUUGUGUGCUAGGAAUGCUAUAGCUAUAGCAUGCCCCCACGCACACAUUAUUGUGAAUUGUGACGGAUUCGUAUCCUGGGGAUGCCACCACCUGUUGGAUGGGGGUGGUUUGGCACCAGGAGUAUUUCUCAGGGUACAAAAUAAUAUUGUGGACCUGUAAUAAAAUUCUUAUUUCUUUAUAAUAAAUUUGAUGUUUAUA